AGAGAGAGAGAGAGAGAGAGAGAGAGAGAAAUGAUAAAGAGAGAGAGAGAGAGAGAGAGAGAGAGAGAGAGAGAGCUAUCUUUAAUAAACCCUUUUCUUUAAAUUACAUGCAAAAUUUUAUAUGAAAGAGAGAGAGAGAGAGAAUAUAUUUUUAUCAUCAAAUAUAAUAAUAAUAAUAAUAAUAAUAAUAAUAACAAUAAUAAUUCACAGUUUUAGAGCUUUAUAGAAGAAAACAAACAAACAAACAAACUCACUUCCUGUAUCAAACACGUCUUGCUCACUCUGGAGGUCACUUUGAGGUCACCAAGUCAUGUUAGGUCACUUGGAGGUCACCAGGUCACUUUAGGGGGUCACCAGUUCAUCUUAAGGUUACAGGAGGUCAUUUUUAGGGGGUCACCAGGUCAUGUUAGGUCACUGAGGUCACCAGGUCAUUUUAGGGGGUCACCAGUUCAUCUUAGGUCACAGGAGGUCAUUUUAGGGGUCACCAGGUCAUGUUAGGUCAGUCUGGAGGUCAUUAGGUCCCUGAAGGUCAUUUUGGGAGGUCACCAGGUCAUGUUAGGUCACUUUGAGGUCACCAGGUCACUUUCGGGAUCACCAUGUCAUGUUAGGUCACUUUGAGGUCACCAGGUCACUGUUGGGGGUCAUUAGGUCACUUUGAGGUCAUUUUAGGUGUCACCAGGUCAUGUCAGGUCACUUUGAGGUCACCAGGUUACUUUAGGAGUCACCAUUUCAUGUUAGGUCACAGGAGGUCACUUUUGGGGGUCACCAGGUCAUGUUAGGUCACUUUUAGGGGUCAUGAGGUCAGUUUGAGGUCACCAGGUCAUGUUAGGUCAUUCUGGAGGUCACCAUGUCACUUUUGUGGGUCAUUAGGUCACUGAGGUAAUUUUUGGGGUCACCAGGUCAUGUUAGGUCACUUUGAGGUCACCAAGUUAAUCUGGAGGUCAUUAGGUCAUGCUAGGUCACUCUGGAGGUCACUAGGUCAUGCUGGGUCAUUCUGGAGGUCAGUUUGGGGGUCUGGUCAAAUAGUCACCAUUAAUUUUCUCUCACUUUCUCACAUUAGUCACCAAAAAUUCUCUCUCUCUCUCUCUCUCUCUCUCUCUCUCUCUCUCUCUCUCUCUCUCUCUCUCUCUCUCUCUCUCUCUCUCACAUUAGAAGUCACCAAUAUCUCACUCUCACUCUCUCACAUUAGAGUCACCAAGAUCACUCUCUCACUCUCUCACAUUAGAAGUCACCAAUAUCUCUCUCUCUCUCACUUUCUCACAUUAAAAAUCACCAAUAACUCUCCCUCACUCUCUCACCCUCUCACAUUAGAGUCACCAAGAUCACCAUUUCAUCCCUCCAGUAGUAUAGACAUAAGGUUAAUAUUAGCUUGAAAUUGUAAAAAAAAAUAAUAUUAGAUUUUUUUAGAGGCCCAGAACUAGAAAUGGACAGAAAAACACCUUUACCACACAGAGAAUUAAGGUACAAAAUUAGAUGCACACCCUGUUAGUCGCUCAGUCGUUCUUUCACUCGCUCAGUCACACUUAAACGCCACAAAAACACUCAAAACACCACAAAAACACCUUAAAAACACCACAAAAA
rnacentral:lncRNA from 1 species